UUAUCCACCAGUGGAAAUCAAUUGAACAUUUGUUUUGUGCUGUUAAGGGGUCAAGCUGUGUGACUAGACAUCUGCAGAGACCCGGAUUGCCCUCUUAGGAACUCAUCCUUCCAGAAGAGAGGCCGAGUAAUCCGACAGUCUAAGAAACCAGUGACUGUGUUUUCCAGUGGUUCUGCUUGGAUAACAACAUGGGGAAAUAACACUGAUGUCAGAAGUGUGAAGCUGUCAGCUCACAGGGUGGCCCAGAGAGGCGUUUCGAGAAGGCCCUGUCAACCCAAAUCCCUAUGUCCAGCUUCUUUCUGGGCAGGACAGGGACUCUUUUGACCCUUGGAGGCCUCUGUACCAUGCGAGCGGGCCAUAGGAGACAUGGAGAAAGAGACGUCAAGAUCUGGGAGCAGGUCGGUCCUUCUUCGUCGUCAUCCUGGUCCUCGCUCUCCUCCAGCUGCGGGGUUGCCCACGGUAUCAAGCCUUUCUUCCAGAUCUUUGCCUAACUCCUGCCUUCCUGGAGAUGGUACCUAGGGGGAACCUAGUGUCCAAUCUGCCCCAGGAGACACAACCGCAGACCUUCUUGCAAUAGCUGCCUGGCCCUACCAUGGAGCUGGGGUGGGCUUGGACAACCUUGCUCCACGUGCUGGGCCCAAGACAUUGACUUGAGGAUACCAGGCUAUAAGGUCCUGCUACUACUCUUUUGAGACUACGUUUCCUGUAUCUUAGGCUGUCCUUGAGUUUUCCACAAAGCCAAAGGUGACUGUAAACGCUUAAUCCUGCUGCCUCAAUCUCCUGGCAUUUAUCUGUUGCUGGCGAUUGAGCCUAGCACUGUAUGCAUACUAAGCAAGAACUACCAACUAAGGGACACCCCAGCCCCCAAAGGCACAACUUCCAAAAAGUGGAUAUUAGAAUAGCAGAAUUCAUAGCAUUGCCAGGGCUGGAAGGAGCGGAAGUGAAGCAAGAAACCCUUCAAAAAGCAACACAGAAACCCGGCUCAAACAAUGGAGAACGGGACUGUGUGCCUGCGAAAGGUUUAGCAUAGGCUAGCCUGAGGUCAAAGUGAAGGAGAGAGAGCAGAGUUGGAGGCAAGAGUUAAAGAGAUUUUUAAUUGGCCAGUGGUGACAGUGCAGCAUUGGAGAUUGUUGUGUUUUUUGUUUUGUUUUGUUUUGUUUUGUUUUGUUUUGUUUUGUUUUGUAGUAAGGGUCUCACUUUGUAGCUCUGGCUGGCCUGGGACUCAUUAUGUAGACCAGGCUGAUCCUCGACUCACAAAGCCCCACUGCUUCUGCCUCUGAGUGCUAAGAUUAAGGAAUGUUCCACCACAAUCUGGCUCAGCGCACAGUUUAAAGAAGCCCGAAGGAUCCAGGAUGAAUGAGUAAGCCACAUCCCUGGAUGAACGGAUGACUCGAACAUCGCUGUAGGAAGGGGUGAUGGUGGUGAUGCUGGCUUUUACUUUAAAACUUUUUCAUUGAGUGUGUGCACAUGUGUGCACAUGUGGGCACAAGGGUCGUGGUACAUGCGUGGAUGGCAGAGGAGAACUUGGAGGAGCCCAUUUUCUCCUAAUACUGUGUGAGUUCUAGAGAUUGAACUCAGGUCCUCACAACUAGCUGGCAGGACCUUGGCCCACAGAGCCAUCCUGCCUACCCUGAAAAUACCGGUUUUCUGAGAGCAGGCAGAGCUCUGCCCGUUCAGGAUGCUGAGCAUGUGCUGAGAGCAGGGUGCUGUUGCCUUUGUGGCACAAGUGUGAUAAAAGCAACUGGAGCCUGGACCGUCACCUGAUUAUGCCGGAACCUCACUGAGAGAUUCUGCUUGAGCCAAAUAGAAGCACCGUACUCGGAAAGCCCGAGACACAGGAACCGGCAGAAGGAACGAAGGACAUAGACAAGUUUGGAAACAUACUGGGUAAUGACAGCUCUGUCUCCCUGGCUUAAGAGGCAUUGCAGGGCUGGGCUGUAACUCGGCAAUUUGCAUGAAGUUGUGGGUUCCAAGUCUUCGCAUACACCUCCACCCCCAAUAAGUGCUAGUCAGUUGACAACAGGAGGAGCAAGAACUCUGUCAGGGAACUUUUAUAAGCCUCAGGGCUAUCAAGCUACAUGGGCAGGAGGUAAAAGGACAACUUUCUCUGCUUUGGAAUUUGGCAAGUAGCAUUUUUCAGGAACCGCUAAAACAUCAGCGAAAGACCACACGACCUCUAAACCAGGAGGAGGAACACUGAGUGGAGAGAAAAAGGGAAGAGUGUGGAACUGUGACAGAGUGCUUGCCAGGCAUGUACAAAGCUCUGGGUUCAGUCCUCAGCUCUGCAGAAACUGGACAUGGCUGUGCAUGCCUGCAGUCCUAGCACACCAGAAGACAGAGGGAUCAGAACCUCAAAGGUUACCGUCUGCUAUCUAGAGAGUUUGAGUCCAGUCCAGGCUGUAUAAGAGCUCGUUGUUUUUUUUUUUAAUGAUUAUGCCCAUCAUUUAUUUCUAAUUAAUAAACAAGACAAAUAUCA